UAAACUCCUCUUGUUGAGGAAGAUAAUGACGGUACUCAACAAGGAAGUGACGGCUAACUACGUGCCAGCAGCCGCGGUAAAACGUAGGUCACAAGCGUUGUCCGGAAUUACUGGGUGUAAAGGGAGCGCAGGCGGGAGAUCAAGUUGGAAGUGAAAUCCAUGGGCUCAACCCAUGAACUGCUUUCAAAACUGUUUUUCUUGAGUAGUGCAGAGGUAGGCGGAAUUCCCGGUGUAGCGGUGGAAUGCGUAGAUAUCGGGAGGAACACCAGUGGCGAAGGCGGCCUACUGGGCACCAACUGACGCUGAGGCUCGAAAGUGUGGGUAGCAAACAGGAUUAGAUACCCUGGUAGUCCACACCGUAAACGAUGAUUACUAGGUGUUGGAGGAUUGACCCCUUCAGUGCCGCAGUUAACACAAUAAGUAAUCCACCUGGGGAGUACGACCGCAAGGUUGAAACUCAAAGGAAUUGACGGGGGCCCGCACAAGCAGUGGAGUAUGUGGUUUAAUUCGACGCAACGCGAAGAACCUUACCAAGUCUUGACAUCCYGCGACGAUGCUAGAAAUAUUAUUUUYCUUCGGAACGCAGAGACAGGUGGUGCAUGGUUGUCGUCAGCUCGUGUCGUGAGAUGUUGGGUUAAGUCCCGCAACGAGCGCAACCCUUAUGGUCAGUUACUACGCAAGAGGACUCUGGCCAGACUGCCGUUGACAAA
rnacentral:rRNA from 1 species